GAAGCCACCUUGGCUUGGGGGCGUAUAUGUCUCUAAGGUAACUGAGAAAAGUUUGCCCCAGGGGUGAACCAAAAAUGUGGCAGCUCUUCUGAGCAGCAUCUCUCUAGUCUCACCAGCCUCUGGCCACAAUGCCAGUUUCAGGAUGCUGAGGCUGCUGCCAGGUCUCCACUGGGGGACUUGGAUGGACAGCAUGCACUCAACCAGUGGCUUAACCCAGCACUGCAACGGCCACAGAGUCCAGUUCCCUACUCACAGGACGUCCAGGAUCGAAGGUCAAGUCUGGGGAAGAAUCACUGGUGUUCUGGUCAGUGUUCACCCAUGGUACCUGAAGAGAGGUUUUCUGGGUUUCUGUUUCUUUAAUGAGGAUGAAACACACCUGGUUAACCUCUUUUCCAGUAUCAAAUCCCAUCUUGAAGGCCUUCCGGUCCAGACCUCAGCUUCCGGGAAAGACGUUUACUGUCGGCUCCCGCCCAGUGGACAGAAAUAAGUGGGUGACCACAAAGCCUGACUCAUGUCGCCUGGUCUACUAACCAUCCGUCUGCAAUCCGUAUUAACAGGGCUUCUGGGAUUGGCUGUCAAGUCUGAGGAAGAGCCAGCUCAUGCCAGUGUAAUUGGUGGUACUUGAGGAGAGGUUUUCUAGGUCUCCGUUUCUUUCAUGAGGAUGAAACACACCUGGUUAACCUUUUUUCCAGUAUCAGAUCCCACCUUGGAGGCCUUCUGGUCCAGACCUCAGCCUGUGGGAUGGGGUGCUGUGGACACGAAUAACUUGUUGCCCACAAGCCUGCCCUGUAUUUCUGAUUUUAGUUACCUAUUCCACUAACCAUCAGUAUCUUAUCCAUUCUCAGGAGUACUUCCCGAAGGAAUGCCCACCUAGAGGAAGACCAUGGUCCCCAAGAUAGCUCCAUGCCUGAAACACGCAGGGAGCAGUGCUGCUGUCCAGGAAGAAGCUGUGUGUCUGGAGGUGGCUCUUUUCUGCGAUCCUCAAGGAGAGGUUUCCUUCGUAUACUCCAUCUUUUAUGACAAAUUACUCACACCAAAGGGCUUCCCCAGCGGCUCAGCUGAUAAUGAACCCACCUUCCAAUGCAGGAGAUAUGAGAGAUACAGGUUCCAUCCCUGAGUCAAGAAGAUCCCCUGGAGAUGGAAAUGGCAAGCUGCUCCAGUAAGUCUUCCCUGGAGAAUUCCAUGGACAGAGGAGCCUGGCAGGCGGCAGCCCAUGGGGUCGCAAAGAGUUGGACAUGACUGAGCAUGCACACAUCAGGAGGCAUCCACAUCAACCUCUCUUCAGUAUCAAAUACCAGCUUGGAAGAUGUCCUGAACGACACGGAAGUUGUCAGCUCAAGUCCAGGUAGGACUCCAUGGAGGUGAAGCCAGCCUCUGGGGAAGGAAGUGGUUCUUGGUCGGCUCCAAAGCCGGGGCACAGAGAACCACAGCUUACUUGGAAGAUUACCUGGACCCGUAGCCGAUUCCUUGCAGGGGCCUGGGUGUCUGUUCACUGCAGACCACGUCUCCGGCCUCUUGACCACAAAAUGUGGGAUUUAUCUGUGAAUUUGCUCCUGAUGCAUUGACCUUGGGGUGCAAGCCAUUGCUGGGACACUUCCUGAGGCCUGAUAUAGCAAUAUUUCUAGAAGGAGAUUACAGUUUCCCCAUCAAGGAAAGCUCCAAUUCCUGGAAAGCAGUUGUAACUAAAUGUUCUCUGUACUGGUGGAAAAUAUUUCACAAGUGACCUCUUUUCAGUGUUAAGUCUUAAAGGGUUUCUUGGCUGACCUCCGGAAGCAACCCCAAGACAUUCGAUUCAGACUCUGCGCUUGUAUAUGACACAUGUCAACUCGUCCAUCCGGGGCCACACAGGCUCAGGAAAACUUCUCCAGCAUCAGCGGAAGACUGCACGAUGUUUUGUUUUCUUUUUUGGUGUGUGUUUUUGACCAGGGCUUAUCUUCGAUACUUGAAGGAGAGGUUAUCCGUGUUGUCUUCUCUUUAUUUAUGAUGAAACAUACACGGGAAACCUCUUUUUUAGUAUCAAAUCCCACCCUGGAGGCACGUCCGGUUCCCUGUGCAUCCUUCAGGGAACGGACGUGGCCAGCUGCACUCUGAGUAGCCAGGGGAAGGAGGACUGUCGUGUGUCGCAGGGCAGGGGUGGAGGGUGGCCUCCAGGAUCCAGCCCUCCAAGGGACAGCUUCUUGGAAGAGAAGCCACGUUUGGAGAAGGGCCCAGCUUGCUGUGUUGGCGGGAGGCUGCGCAUUAUGGGUCUCGUCUGUUUGAUGACUCACGGCGGGUGGUGGCGCCUCAGGGUGGGAUCCGGCCCGGAUGACUCUCUGGACACACCAGCCGCUCUCCAGGGUAGCUGAGGGGAUGGUAGACCGGUGACGUGCACUUCAUUUAUGAUGUAGGUCACCCGUUUGACUAUCCACCAGCACCCAGUCCAUCUGUGGGAUGACGUCUUGGUGCACAUGGCGACUCUGGAAAAGAUGGAGGAGGAUGGGGGACCGGUGUGGGUCUGCUGUAUGGGAAGAGGGGUCACGCUCUUGGGGGGUCCGUCUCCCGCCUUUUAAAAAAUAAGUAGAAGCAAUCGUCAGUCAAUCGUCUCUUCCCAGUCAAACCUCUCCCAGGAGGAUGGUUAACCUGCACCGCAAGCGUCCGGGAGGAGGCCCAGCCCACAGCACAGGCUGAAGACAGGACAUGUCUUACCUGCUUCAGGGUCCAGUCUGUCCAGAGUGCGUGUGUGUGUGUGUGUGUGUGUGUGUGUCUAUGGCCAAUAGUGCUAAUGUUGGGAGCACCUUCUUUCGUGACGUCAACUCUCUUCUGUGGGUUCUGGAAAGAGGCUGUCUGAUGAGGUUGUCAUGUAUGAGAUGAAUAUCACAUGGUCCAUCUCUUUUCAGUAGUAAAACUACCCCAGAGGAUUUCCCGGGUGUGACACCUGAUUCCAGGCAGCACCACUGGUAUCUGUACCGCCACCAGUGAGUGAGCAGCUGAGGCACCGGCCUCAGUGUGCUCACAGGCAGGUUUCAAUGUGCCUCUUCUGGAUCGUUACCACCUGUAGAACCCAACCUCUCCUUGAGUGCAUUUCAAGUCCACGUUCAUUACUUGGGGAGGAGGCUUUGUUGCCAUCACUCAUCUCCGUGUCUGUUGUUCAGCAUUGUUUCGACCUAGGAGGACCCAUCCAGACUGUCAGAUGCUGCUUCAGAGGCAUUCUGGACGUGACACUGAUGGCAGAGAAAGAGCCCUGGAGUUCACCAUCUAUGAAGGGAACACCAUUGGCAUGGGCCCCUCUCCAAGAGACCUGAAGGACGGUUGGACCCCAGAACAUCUCCCCUGCCUCCUUCACCCCCAGGGUCCCCACUCCCUGGGAAGACUUCCUGGAAGUGAUGCUGACUUUGGAAAAGACAUCAUGUCUUCAUCCCCACUGUCCAGUGGCCCUCUGUGAUGGACUUGCUGUAUUUGUCACCAGUCAUCCUGAACAGCCUGUCUUGUAGACUAGACCAUCUCUCGACGGAACCAGGAGUUUCUGUAAGAAGGGGCUGCUGGAGUCAGGAGCUUGCCAGACACCCUAGGGAUGGUCCACGGACAGCAGAUGCUACUUCGGUGGCUUGUCCCACCUAAUUUGAGGUCCUUGGCUUCGCAUUUCUCAAGAGGAUGCCUUGCAGAACCACUGACUCAUGGAGGAGAUUUUAUUUCAGGGUCCCAGACCACCCCAUUUCCUCUGAAAUGAUGCUCCGCGUGACCAUUUGUGGACUUGAUCGCAAACAUACAGAACCCGGCUGUACUGAUGAUUGGAUUCUGCCUGUGAGCUCUCCCUGGAGUCGUGAGUGAGAGAGAGGCUGGGGUGGACUGACUUCAUCCAUAAUGACCAUUUGGCCUACCUCCGCCCUGUGUCAACCUCUCCCGUGAGGGCUGCCCGGACGCUGCAGACACGGAGCGCCGUCCACCUCCUCCCAGUGUCCCUUCCACGCAGGCGGACCGUGGGCUGUGAGCACAUCCGUGCCCAUCAGGGCUGACCGCUGGUACCUGA
ensembl:lncRNA